ensembl:lncRNA
GGAAAGCCAGCCUGUGCUCUGGGGAGCAGCAAGCUCAACCCCACCAGCCUAGAGCAGGGGGCCCAGACCUGAGGCUAAGAGGAGGAAACUGGAGCAGAGAGGAGCCAGAUGCUCAAGAUCACAGCUGGACAUGGAACUGGAAUCCAGGUGAUAAGGCGGCAACAGCUGAGCUAGGAGUCACGUGACUGUUCUGCCUUCUCCUACCUUGCAUGGAUUUUAAGAAUGAGGAAGUCAAGCACCAGAGAGGUGAAGAUGACAGGGCCAAUAAGGCAUGCCAGGCCUCCCUGUCCAUCACCAACUCCCGGAGUUCACUCAAACUCACGUCCAUUGAGUUGGUGAUGCCAUCCAGCCAUCUCAUCCUCUGUCAUCCCCUUCUC